rnacentral:ncRNA from 2 species
AAGACUACUGUGGGAGAGAAUGUAAUAAUACGUCACCGAAGGGGCAAAUCUUUAAAAGAGAUGAAUCUCUCAGGUAAAAGGACCGCUGUAGGACA